CAGUCGACGAGUUCUCGUUGAUGAUCGGUGCUUGCACCGAGAUUCAAUAUGGAACGAGUGGCGGACGGGUGAGUAACACGUGGGUAACCUGCCCUUAAGUGGGGGAUAACAUUUGGAAACAGAUGCUAAUACCGCAUAGAUCCAAGAACCGCAUGGUUCUUGGCUGAAAGAUGGCGUAAGCUAUCGCUUUUGGAUGGACCCGCGGCGUAUUAGCUAGUUGGUGAGGUAAUGGCUCACCAAGGCGAUGAUACGUAGCCGAACUGAGAGGUUGAUCGGCCACAUUGGGACUGAGACACGGCCCAAACUCCUACGGGAGGCAGCAGUAGGGAAUCUUCCACAAUGGACGCAAGUCUGAUGGAGCAACGCCGCGUGAGUGAAGAAGGCUUUCGGGUCGUAAAACUCUGUUGUUGGAGAAGAAUGGUCGGCAGAGUAACUGUUGUCGGCGUGACGGUAUCCAACCAGAAAGCCACGGCUAACUACGUGCCAGCAGCCGCGGUAAUACGUAGGUGGCAAGCGUUAUCCGGAUUUAUUGGGCGUAAAGCGAGCGCAGGCGGUUUUUUAAGUCUGAUGUGAAAGCCCUCGGCUUAACCGAGGAAGCGCAUCGGAAACUGGGAAACUUGAGUGCAGAAGAGGACAGUGGAACUCCAUGUGUAGCGGUGAAAUGCGUAGAUAUAUGGAAGAACACCAGUGGCGAAGGCGGCUGUCUGGUCUGUAACUGACGCUGAGGCUCGAAAGCAUGGGUAGCGAACAGGAUUAGAUACCCUGGUAGUCCAUGCCGUAAACGAUGAAUGCUAGGUGUUGGAGGGUUUCCGCCCUUCAGUGCCGCAGCUAACGCAUUAAGCAUUCCGCCUGGGGAG
rnacentral:rRNA from 1 species